rnacentral:snoRNA from 1 species
CCCCUCUCAGGGUCACACCUGGAGAGUUUCCAGUACUCUACCGGUCUCGACUUUGGGAGAGAGAGUCAAGCAGAGGCCUACCCAUUCCAUUCCUAGCUUGGGCAGUGGCUAGCGCUUGGAAGGCAAUCUGCUACAAAU